rnacentral:rRNA from 1 species
UACGGAGGAUGCAAGCGUUAUCCGGAAUGAUUGGGCGUAAAGCGUCCGCAGGUGGCUGUGUAAGUCUGCUGUUAAAGAGUGAGGCUCAACCUCAUAAAGGCAGUGGAAACUACAUGGCUAGAGUGCGUUCGGGGCAGAGGGAAUUCCUGGUGUAGCGGUGAAAUGCGUAGAGAUCAGGAAGAACACCGGUGGCGAAAGCGCUCUGCUAGGCCGCAACUGACACUCAGGGACGAAAGCUAGGGGAGCGAAUGGG